rnacentral:rRNA from 1 species
CCCUUAGAUGUUCUGGGCCGCACGCGCGCUACGCUGAUGCAUUCAACGAGUCUAAAACCUGCUCUGAUAGGGGUGGGUAAUCUUUUGAAUGUGCAUCGUGAUUGGGAUAGAUGAUUGCAAUUUUUCAUCUUCAACGAGGAAUGCCUAGUAAACGCAAGUCAUCAGCUUGCAUUGAUUACGUCCCUGCCCUUUGUACACACCGCCCGUCGCUCCUACCGAUUGAAUGAUCCGAUGAAUAUCAUGGAUUGAGGAUUAUAGCAGGUUCGCCUGUCUUGAUCUUCGAGAAGUGAAGUAAAUCUUAUCAUUUAGAGGAAGGAGAAGUCGUAACA